rnacentral:rRNA from 1 species
CUAUAGCUUGACACUGAACAUUGAGCCUUGAUGUGUAGGAUAGGUGGGAGGCUUUGAAGUGUGGACGCCAGUCUGCAUGGAGCCGACCUUGAAAUACCACCCUUUAAUGUUUGAUGUUCUAACGUGGACCCGUAAUCCGGGUUGCGGACAGUGUCUGGUGGGUAGUUUGACUGGGGCGGUCUCCUCCUAAAGAGUAACGGAGGAGCACGAAGGUUGGCUAAUCCUGGUCGGACAUCAGGAGGUUAGUGCAAUGGCAUAAGCCAGCUUGACUGCGAGCGUGACGGCGCGAGCAGGUGCGAAAGCAGGUCAUAGUGAUCCGGUGGUUCUGAAUGGAAGGGCCAUCGCUCAACGGAUAAAAGGUACUCCGGGGAUAACAGGCUGAUACCGCCCAAGAGUUCAUAUCGACGGCGGUGUUUGGCACCUCGAUGUCGGCUCAUCACAUCCUGGGGCUGAAGUAGGUCCCAAGGGUAUGGCUGUUCGCCAUUUAAAGUGGUACGCGAGCUGGGUUUAGAACGUCGUGAGACAGUUCGGUCCCUAUCUGCCGUGGGCGCUGGAGAACUGAGGGGGGCUGCUCCUAGUACGAGAGGACCGGAGUGGACGCAUCACUGGUGUUCGGGUUGUCAUGCCAAUGGCACUGCCCGGUAGCUAAAUGCGGAAGAGAUAAGUGCUGAAAGCAUCUAAGCACGAAACUUGCCCCGAGAUGAGUUCUCCCUGAGACUUAGAGUCUCCUGAAGGAACGUUGAAGACG